AACGAACGCUGGCGGCAUGCCUAACACAUGCAAGUCGAACGAGACCUUCGGGUCUAGUGGCGCACGGGUGCGUAACGCGUGGUAACCUGCCCUUAGGUUCGGAAUAACGCCCCGAAAGUGGUGCUAAUACCGGAUAAUGUCUUCGGACCAAAGAUUUGUCGCCUUUGGAUGGGCCCGCGUUGGAUUAGCUAGUUGGUAGGGUAAAAGCCUACCAAGGCGACGAUCCAUAGCUGGUCUGAGAGGAUGAUCAGCCACACUGGGACUGAGACACGGCCCAGACUCCUACGGGAGGCAGCAGUGGGGAAUAUUGGACAAUGGGCGAAAGCCUGAUCCAGCAAUGCCGCGUGAGUGAUGAAGGCCUUAGGGUUGUAAAGCUCUUUUACCCGGGAUGAUAAUGACAGUACCGGGAGAAUAAGCUCCGGCUAACUCCGUG
rnacentral:rRNA from 1 species